rnacentral:rRNA from 1 species
CGGACGGGUGAGUAACACGUGGAUAACCUACCUAUAAGACUGGGAUAACUUCGGGAAACCGGAGCUAAUACCGGAUAAUAUUUUGAACCGCAUGGUUCAAAAGUGAAAGACGGUCUUGCUGUCACUUAUAGAUGGAUCCGCGCUGCAUUAACUAGUUGGUAAGGUAACGGCUUACCAAGGCAACGAUGCAUAGCCGACCUGAGAGGGUGAUCGGCCACACUGGAACUGAGACACGGUCCAG